GGGAACUUCCGUUUAUCUGCGAGGUCGGAGAAGGCUGGCUGCGUUCAGUGGUGCUGUUGAAAAACACGAUGAAAAUGGCGUGGCAACCGCAAGAGGAAGGACUUAGACAAAUCUUAACGCUUCUCAAGGAGUCCCAAAGCCCGGAUACGGCUACUCAACGAGCCGUGCAAGAAAAAUUGGAAGAAUUAAAUAAAUUUCCAGAUUUCAACAAUUACCUUAUCUUUGUUUUAACAAAACUCACAUCAGAGGAUGAACCUACGAGGUCUCUCAGUGGACUGAUAUUGAAAAAUAACGUGAAAGCUCAUUUUCAUAAAUUUUUACCAGAAGUUACAAGUUUUAUUAAGCAAGAAUGUUUAUCCGCAGUUGGAGAUCCAUCACCUCUAAUUCGUGCAACUGUUGGUAUUUUAAUAACUACUGUUGCAUCCAAAGGUGAACUGACUACAUGGCCAGAAUUGUUACCUGCACUUUGUCAAAUGUUGGAUUCUGAAGAUUACAAUGUUUGUGAAGGUGCAUUUGGCGCUCUUCAAAAGAUUUGUGAAGAUUCUGCAGAAAUAUUAGAUUCGGAUGCACUUAAUCGACCUUUGAACGUUUUAAUUCCAAAGUUCCUGCAAUUUUUCAGACAUUUAAGUCCCAAAAUCAGAUCACAUGCUAUUGCCUGUGUUAAUCAAUUUAUUGUUAGUCGUACACAGGCUCUUAUGAUUCAUAUAGAUAGCUUCCUGGAGAACCUCUUCCACUUAGCUAGUGAUAAUGAUCCAGAAGUCAGGAAAAAUGUUUGCAGAGCAUUGGUUAUGUUACUUGAAGUUCGGAUGGAUAGAUUGAUACCACAUAUGCACAAUAUAAUAGAAUACAUGUUAAUGAGAACUCAAGAUCCUGAUGAAGGAGUUGCUUUAGAAGCUUGCGAAUUUUGGCUCUCCUUAGCAGAACAACCAAUUUGUAAAGAAGCACUUGCACCACAUUUACCACGUUUGGUACCCAUAUUGGUAAGAGGAAUGAAGUAUUCUGAAAUAGAUAUAAUACUCUUAAAAGGAGACGUAGAAGAAGACGAAAUGAUCCCAGACAGAGAAGAAGAUAUCAGACCAAGAUUUCCCAAAUCAAAGACACAUCAUUCGCAUCAUGCUAAUAUGAACAAACAUACAAACGAAAACGGAGGUUGUGACGAAGAGAACAUAAGCACUGAAGAUGGAUGCGACGAUGAUACAUCGCUCAGUGAUUGGAAUUUAAGAAAAUGUUCGGCUGCUGCAUUGGACAUGUUAGCGAACGUUUUCAGAGAAGAAUUGUUACCGGUAUUAGUACCCAUUUUAAAAGAAACUCUUUUCCAUCAAGAUUGGGAAAUCAAAGAGUCUGGAAUAUUAGCACUGGGAGCUAUAGCAGAAGGUUGUAUGAGUGGAAUGAUUCCACAUUUAUCAGAAUUAAUACCUUAUUUAAUUAAUUGCUUGAGUGAUAAGAAAGCUUUAGUACGAGCUAUUACUUGUUGGACGCUAAGUCGUUACGCGCAUUGGGUUUGUGCGCAACCACACGACACACAUUUGAAACCUUUAAUGACAGAAUUACUCAAAAGAGUACUUGAUGGCAAUAAACGCGUUCAAGAAGCUGCAUGCUCUGCUUUUGCCACAUUAGAAGAAGAAGCGUGCACAGAAUUAGUCCCAUAUCUUGGAUUUAUUCUUCAAACACUUGUGUUUGCCUUCGGUAAAUAUCAACACAAAAAUCUUUUAAUAUUAUAUGACGCAAUUGGUACACUUGCUGAUUCAGUGGGACAUCAUCUUAAUAAGCCGGAUUACAUUAACCUUUUAAUGCCGCCACUUAUCAACAAAUGGAAUGUGUUGAAAGACGAAGACAAAGACCUUUUCCCAUUACUAGAAUGUCUUUCUUCGAUCGCAACUGCAUUGCGUUCUGGUUUUCUUCCUUAUUGCGAACCCGUGUACAGGCGGUGUGUAUCCCUCGUAGAGCAGACUCUAAAUCAACACAUAGCAAAUACCCAGAGUCCAGAACAAUUUGAGGCACCUGAUAAAGAUUUUAUGAUUGUUGCAUUAGACCUUCUUAGCGGCUUGGCUGAAGGGUUGGACGGCCACAUGGAACGCUUAGUAAUGAACAGCAAUGUAAUGCAGCUGUUGUAUCAGUGUAUGCAAGAUGUUACGCCCGAAGUUAGACAGAGCAGCUUUGCCUUGUUGGGAGAUCUUACAAAGGCCUGCUUCCAACAUGUUCUCCCAUGUAUACCGGAGUUCAUGCCUAUACUUGGACAGAAUUUAAACCCAGAGUUCAUAUCAGUGUGCAACAAUGCCACAUGGGCUAUAGGCGAAAUAGCAAUAAAAUUGGGAUCUGACACAAGUGCAUAUAUUCCAUUAAUUUUGACACAACUUAUCGACAUAAUCAAUAGACCGAACACGCCAAAAACAUUGUUAGAAAAUACAGCCAUAACGAUCGGUCGCCUAGGUUAUGUGUGUCCCCACGACGUCGCCCCCAUGUUACAGCAGUUUGUCCGACAGUGCACUAUCAUACAGAGGAAUAUAUAAAACGUUAAAAAAAAAUACAUAAUAAAAAUAUGUUACCAAUGUAUAACACACAGUGUAGGGAAUACAAGACUGGCCUCAAAAAAGCCAACUUACCGCGUUAAUUGUUAAUUAUAAACAUCUGUUUAUGUACAAUUUACGUAACUUGUGGGAAUGAACAUUCUAUCGAGUGUACUUCGUUGAGAA
rnacentral:misc_RNA from 1 species